rnacentral:misc_RNA from 1 species
ACCUGAAAAUGUGAGCUGUUGAGACAGCGGCCAAUUUGACGGAACAAGGGGAUCAUGCAACGCUGAAACUCUGCUGGCUGAGUAGCUUCUAACCUCCAACUCACCAAGGAACAUAACCUCCUUGGAACUAUUGGUUAUGGGCCAAUAUUUUAGAAGACCUCGAAUAACAGUAUCAGCAAGCUUGAAAUCUUUUUCCACAAAUUGAGUGAUACAAUACGAAAGUUGUUGAUGGUACAUCGGUACACACUUGGGCUUGUGAAGAGGAAUCAAGGCACGUACAAGGAAGAGCUUGUGCUCUUCCUUCAAUGGCAA